UACGUAGGGCGCAAGCGUUGUCCGGAAUUAUUGGGCGUAAAGAGCUCGUAGGCGGUUUGUCGCGUCUGCUGUGAAAACCUAAGGCUCAACCUUGGGCUUGCAGUGGGUACGGGCAGACUAGAGUGCGGUAGGGGUGACUGGAAUUCCUGGUGUAGCGGUGGAAUGCGCAGAUAUCAGGAGGAACACCGAUGGCGAAGGCAGGUCACUGGGCCGCAACUGACGCUGAGGCGCGAAAGCUAGGGGAGCAAACAGG
rnacentral:rRNA from 1 species